GGAUGUGGAGGUAAUCUGGCUAUGCCAUUUGUCACUCCACUGAUCCACCAGGGUUGAUUCGGCUGAUCAGGCUGGCUAGGCAGUUGUCUCCUUCCUCCCUCACCACUCCGUGUGUCCUUCCCAAAGCUGCACACUUGGUUGAAGAGAAUGACCACCCGCAACAGAGGAGGACAGUUUCCUUGGUCAAGGGUAUACAAGUAGCUGUGUUUCCCAGCCUGAACUUCCAAUCAAUGUCUGCUGACUUCAAGGCAGAAACAAUAUGGCAGAAGAGCUUGACAAGAGGGAAAGCUACUCAAUCAUGGAAGUCAGGAAGUAGAGU
ensembl:misc_RNA 7SK 7SK RNA